CCUAUCAUAUCGAACGUUUAAACAUCUACAUAAAAUAUUAAAUAUAGGCUAAAACAUAACUAAUUGCACAUAUUACGACUAAUUUACAAGAUGAAUUUUUUAGCCUAAUUGCUUCAUGAUUUGAUAAUGUGGUGCUACAGUAAAUAUUUACUAAUGACAUGUUAAUUAGGCUUAAUAAAUUCAUCUCGCGGUUUACUGACGGAUUCUGUAAUUAUUUUUUAUUAAUACCCGAACAUCUCAUGUGAUACUCUACAUAAUAUCCGAUGUGAUACGUUAAAAUUUUACACCCGUGAAUCUAAACAACCCCUCCGUUUCGCCAUGGAAAGCAACCUCCACUUGUGAUGAGCUGUGAGGGUGUAAGAUGAGAUGGACGUGCUACCUAACCUGACUCACACUCCUGACAAGGGAAGGAAGAAAGGGCAUAAAAAAGGUCACUUAUGCUGUGGAUAACACAGCAGGGGUGGCGGCUCCCUUGAAUGUCUACAGGACAUAUGCUGGCGAUAUCAGAAACAGUCCCAGGCGAUCUCUCCAAGAGCAUACGUCAAUCCCGGCAGAAAACAACGAUGUUGGAGACCAGAAAAUCGGUGCUUUCGUAGGUAGAUAUCACAAGGAUAUCAUUUAGUAGUAACACAAGAUUUCUGCAGGAGAGGCAUGAGAGACCCACACUGAUGGUGAUAUCAGCCAAACAUGCAAGCAGAGUAAGGAAUUGCUUAUUGACAUUUUUUUUCUGAUGCAAGUUCUGGAUAGUUCAUCCACAAGAGCACCGAUGAGGAUCUCUACAGAUUACAGAUACAAA
rnacentral:lncRNA from 1 species